rnacentral:rRNA from 1 species
GGUUAAGCGACUAAGCGUACACGGUGGAUGCCCUGGCAGUCAGAGGCGAUGAAGGACGUGCUAAUCUGCGAUAAGCGUCGGUAAGGUGAUAUGAACCGUUAUAACCGGCGAUUUCCGAAUGGGGAAACCCAGUGUGUUUCGACACACUAUCAUUAACUGAAUCCAUAGGUUAAUGAGGCGAACCGGGGGAACUGAAACAUCUAAGUACCCCGAGGAAAAGAAAUCAACCGAGAUUCCCCCAGUAGCGGCGAGCGAACGGGGAGCAGCCCAGAGCCUGAAUCAGUGUGUGUGUUAGUGGAAGCGUCUGGAAAGGCGCGCGAUACAGGGUGACAGCCCCGUACACAAAAAUGCACAUGCUGUGAGCUCGAUGAGUAGGGCGGGACACGUGGUAUCCUGUCUGAAUAUGGGGGGACCAUCCUCCAAGGCUAAAUACUCCUGACUGACCGAUAGUGAACCAGUACCGUGAGGGAAAGGCGAAAAGAACCCCGGCGAGGGGAGUGAAAAAGAACCUGAAACCGUGUACGUACAAGCAGUGGGAGCCUCUUUAUGGGGUGACUGCGUACCUUUUGUAUAAUGGGUCAGCGACUUAUAUUCUGUAGCAAGGUUAACCGAAUAGGGGAGCCGAAGGGAAACCGAGUCUUAACUGGGCGUUAAGUUGCAGGGUAUAGACCCGAAACCCGGUGAUCUAGCCAUGGGCAGGUUGAAGGUUGGGUAACACUAACUGGAGGACCGAACCGACUAAUGUUGAAAAAUUAGCGGAUGACUUGUGGCUGGGGGUGAAAGGCCAAUCAAACCGGGAGAUAGCUGGUUCUCCCCGAAAGCUAUUUAGGUAGCGCCUCGUGAAUUCAUCUCCGGGGGUAGAGCACUGUUUCGGCAAGGGGGUCAUCCCGACUUACCAACCCGAUGCAAACUGCGAAUACCGGAGAAUGUUAUCACGGGAGACACACGGCGGGUGCUAACGUCCGUCGUGAAGAGGGAAACAACCCAGACCGCCAGCUAAGGUCCCAAAGUCAUGGUUAAGUGGGAAACGAUGUGGGAAGGCCCAGACAGCCAGGAUGUUGGCUUAGAAGCAGCCAUCAUUUAAAGAAAGCGUAAUAGCUCACUGGUCGAGUCGGCCUGCGCGGAAGAUGUAACGGGGCUAAACCAUGCACCGAAGCUGCGGCAGCGACGCUGAUGCGUUGUUGGGUAGGGGAGCGUUCUGUAAGCCUGUGAAGGUGUGCUGUGAGGCAUGCUGGAGGUAUCAGAAGUGCGAAUGCUGACAUAAGUAACGAUAAAGCGGGUGAAAAGCCCGCUCGCCGGAAGACCAAGGGUUCCUGUCCAACGUUAAUCGGGGCAGGGUGAGUCGACCCCUAAGGCGAGGCCGAAAGGCGUAGUCGAUGGGAAACAGGUUAAUAUUCCUGUACUUGGUGUUACUGCGAAGGGGGGACGGAGAAGGCUAUGUUGGCCGGGCGACGGUUGUCCCGGUUUAAGCGUGUAGGCUGGUUUUCCAGGCAAAUCCGGAAAAUCAAGGCUGAGGCGUGAUGACGAGGCACUACGGUGCUGAAGCAACAAAUGCCCUGCUUCCAGGAAAAGCCUCUAAGCAUCAGGUAACAUCAAAUCGUACCCCAAACCGACACAGGUGGUCAGGUAGAGAAUACCAAGGCGCUUGAGAGAACUCGGGUGAAGGAACUAGGCAAAAUGGUGCCGUAACUUCGGGAGAAGGCACGCUGAUAUGUAGGUGAAGUCCCUCGCGGAUGGAGCUGAAAUCAGUCGAAGAUACCAGCUGGCUGCAACUGUUUAUUAAAAACACAGCACUGUGCAAACACGAAAGUGGACGUAUACGGUGUGACGCCUGCCCGGUGCCGGAAGGUUAAUUGAUGGGGUUAGCGCAAGCGAAGCUCUUGAUCGAAGCCCCGGUAAACGGCGGCCGUAACUAUAACGGUCCUAAGGUAGCGAAAUUCCUUGUCGGGUAAGUUCCGACCUGCACGAAUGGCGUAAUGAUGGCCAGGCUGUCUCCACCCGAGACUCAGUGAAAUUGAACUCGCUGUGAAGAUGCAGUGUACCCGCGGCAAGACGGAAAGACCCCGUGAACCUUUACUAUAGCUUGACACUGAACAUUGAGCCUUGAUGUGUAGGAUAGGUGGGAGGCUUUGAAGUGUGGACGCCAGUCUGCAUGGAGCCGACCUUGAAAUACCACCCUUUAAUGUUUGAUGUUCUAACGUUGACCCGUAAUCCGGGUUGCGGACAGUGUCUGGUGGGUAGUUUGACUGGGGCGGUCUCCUCCUAAAGAGUAACGGAGGAGCACGAAGGUUGGCUAAUCCUGGUCGGACAUCAGGAGGUUAGUGCAAUGGCAUAAGCCAGCUUGACUGCGAGCGUGACGGCGCGAGCAGGUGCGAAAGCAGGUCAUAGUGAUCCGGUGGUUCUGAAUGGAAGGGCCAUCGCUCAACGGAUAAAAGGUACUCCGGGGAUAACAGGCUGAUACCGCCCAAGAGUUCAUAUCGACGGCGGUGUUUGGCACCUCGAUGUCGGCUCAUCACAUCCUGGGGCUGAAGUAGGUCCCAAGGGUAUGGCUGUUCGCCAUUUAAAGUGGUACGCGAGCUGGGUUUAGAACGUCGUGAGACAGUUCGGUCCCUAUCUGCCGUGGGCGCUGGAGAACUGAGGGGGGCUGCUCCUAGUACGAGAGGACCGGAGUGGACGCAUCACUGGUGUUCGGGUUGUCAUGCCAAUGGCACUGCCCGGUAGCUAAAUGCGGAAGAGAUAAGUGCUGAAAGCAUCUAAGCACGAAACUUGCCCCGAGAUGAGUUCUCCCUGACCCUUUAAGGGUCCUGAAGGAACGUUGAAGACGACGACGUUGAUAGGCCGGGUGUGUAAGCGCAGCGAUGCGUUGAGCUAACCGGUACUAAUGAACCGUGAGGCUUAACCUU